CAAUAGCGUAUAUUAAAGUUGUUGCAGUUAAAAAGCUCGUAGUUGGAUUUCUGGUUGAAGCGACCGGUCGGGCGUUGAUUCGUCUGCACUGGAGUCGGUUUUGGCCAUCCUCUAGGAAAGUGCGUCUGGUAUUAAGUUAUCGGGCGUAUGAUCCUGGUCUUUUACUGUGAAAAAAUUAGAGUGUUUAAAGCAGGCCUUCGCCUUGAAUACAUUAGCAUGGAAUAAUAAGAUAGGACUUUGGUCUAUUUUGUUGGUUUGCAGACCGAAGUAAUGAUUAAUAGGGAUAGUUGGGGGUAUUUAUAUUCCGAUGUCAGAGGUGAAAUUCUUAGAUUUUCGGAAGAUAAACUUAUGCGAAAGCAUUUACCGAGGAUGUUUUCAUUAA
rnacentral:rRNA from 1 species